GACGAACGCUGGCGGCGUGCCUAAUACAUGCAAGUCGAACGCAGUGGGGACGGGUGAGUAACACGUUGGUAACCUCCCCUCAGAGGGGAGAACACUUGGAAACAGGUGCUAAACCGAUACUGAUGGAUGGACCCGCGGUGCAUUAGCUAGUUGGUGAGGUAACGGCUCACCAAGGCCACGAUGCAUAGCUGGCCUGAGAGGGCGACCGGCCACACUGGGACUGAGACACGGCCCAGACUCCUACGGGAGGCAGCAGUGGGGAAUUUUGGGCAAUGGGCGAAACCCUGAUCGAGCAACGCCGCGUGAGUGAAGAAGGUUUUCGGGUCGUAAAGCUCUGUUGUUAGAGAAGCGGUAUCUAACCAAAAAGCCCCGGCUAACUACGUGCCAGCAGCCGCGGUAAUAC
rnacentral:rRNA from 1 species